AUUGAACGCUAGCGGGAGGCUUUACACAUGCAAGUCGAACGAGUGGCGGACGGGUGAGUAAUAUAUCGGAACGUGCCCAGUAGCGGGGGAUAACUAAUCGAAAGAGUGGCUACUAACGCAUUCUAGUGGCGCGGCCGGUCUCGGAUGAGCUAGUUGGUGGGGUAAAGGCUCACCAAGGCAACGAUCCGUAUCUGGUUUGAGAGGACGACCAGCCACACUGGGACUGAGACACGGCCCAGACUCCUACGGUAGUCAGCAGUGGGGAAUUUUGGACAAUGGGGGAAACCCUGAUCCAGCCAUCCCGCGUGUAUGAGAAGGCCUUCGGGUUGUAAAGUACUUUUGGCAGAGAAGCGGUAUCUGCAGAAUAAGCACCGGCUAACUACGUGCCAGCAGCCGCGGUAAUUC
rnacentral:rRNA from 1 species